rnacentral:rRNA from 1 species
CUGUGAGCUCGAUGAGUAGGGCGGGACACGUGGUAUCCUGUCUGAAUAUGGGGGGACCAUCCUCCAAGGCUAAAUACUCCUGACUGACCGAUAGUGAACCAGUACCGUGAGGGAAAGGCGAAAAGAACCCCGGCGAGGGGAGUGAAAAAGAACCUGAAACCGUGUACGUACAAGCAGUGGGAGCACGCUUAGGCGUGUGACUGCGUACCUUUUGUAUAAUGGGUCAGCGACUUAUAUUCUGUAGCAAGGUUAACCGAAUAGGGGAGCCGAAGGGAAACCGAGUCUUAACUGGGCGUUAAGUUGCAGGGUAUAGACCCGAAACCCGGUGAUCUAGCCAUGGGCAGGUUGAAGGUUGGGUAACACUAACUGGAGGACCGAACCGACUAAUGUUGAAAAAUUAGCGGAUGACUUGUGGCUGGGGGUGAAAGGCCAAUCAAACCGGGAGAUAGCUGGUUCUCCCCGAAAGCUAUUUAGGUAGCGCCUCGUGAAUUCAUCUCCGGGGGUAGAGCACUGUUUCGGCAAGGGGGUCAUCCCGACUUACCAACCCGAUGCAAACUGCGAAUACCGGAGAAUGUUAUCACGGGAGACACACGGCGGGUGCUAACGUCCGUCGUGAAGAGGGAAACAACCCAGACCGCCAGCUAAGGUCCCAAAGUCAUGGUUAAGUGGGAAACGAUGUGGGAAGGCCCAGACAGCCAGGAUGUUGGCUUAGAAGCAGCCAUCAUUUAAAGAAAGCGUAAUAGCUCACUGGUCGAGUCGGCCUGCGCGGAAGAUGUAACGGGGCUAAACCAUGCACCGAAGCUGCGGCAGCGACGCUGAUGCGUUGUUGGGUAGGGGAGCGUUCUGUAAGCCUGCGAAGGUGUGCUGUGAGGCAUGCUGGAGGUAUCAGAAGUGCGAAUGCUGACAUAAGUAACGAUAAAGCGGGUGAAAAGCCCGCUCGCCGGAAGACCAAGGGUUCCUGUCCAACGUUAAUCGGGGCAGGGUGAGUCGACCCCUAAGGCGAGGCCGAAAGGCGUAGUCGAUGGGAAACAGGUUAAUAUUCCUGUACUUGGUGUUACUGCGAAGGGGGGACGGAGAAGGCUAUGUUGGCCGGGCGACGGUUGUCCCGGUUUAAGCGUGUAGGCUGGUUUUCCAGGCAAAUCCGGAAAACUAAGGCUGAGGCGUGAUGACGAGGCACUACGGUGCUGAAGCAACAAAUGCCCUGCUUCCAGGAAAAGCCUCUAAGCAUCAGGUAACAUCAAAUCGUACCCCAAACCGACACAGGUGGUCAGGUAGAGAAUACCAAGGCGCUUGAGAGAACUCGGGUGAAGGAACUAGGCAAAAUGGUGCCGUAACUUCGGGAGAAGGCACGCUGAUAUGUAGGUGAAGUCCCUCGCGGAUGGAGCUGAAAUCAGUCGAAGAUACCAGCUGGCUGCAACUGUUUAUUAAAAACACAGCACUGUGCAAACACGAAAGUGGACGUAUACGGUGUGACGCCUGCCCGGUGCCGGAAGGUUAAUUGAUGGGGUCAGCGCAAGCGAAGCUCUUGAUCGAAGCCCCGGUAAACGGCGGCCGUAACUAUAACGGUCCUAAGGUAGCGAAAUUCCUUGUCGGGUAAGUUCCGACCUGCACGAAUGGCGUAAUGAUGGCCAGGCUGUCUCCACCCGAGACUCAGUGAAAUUGAACUCGCUGUGAAGAUGCAGUGUACCCGCGGCAAGACGGAAAGACCCCGUGAACCUUUACUAUAGCUUGACACUGAACAUUGAGCAUUGAUGUGUAGGAUAGGUGGGAGGCUUUGAAGUGUGGACGCCAGUCUGCAUGGAGCCGACCUUGAAAUACCACCCUUUAAUGUUUGAUGUUCUAACGUUGACCCGUAAUCCGGGUUGCGGACAGUGUCUGGUGGGUAGUUUGACUGGGGCGGUCUCCUCCUAAAGAGUAACGGAGGAGCACGAAGGUUGGCUAAUCCUGGUCGGACAUCAGGAGGUUAGUGCAAUGGCAUAAGCCAGCUUGACUGCGAGCGUGACGGCGCGAGCAGGUGCGAAAGCAGGUCAUAGUGAUCCGGUGGUUCUGAAUGGAAGGGCCAUCGCUCAACGGAUAAAAGGUACUCCGGGGAUAACAGGCUGAUACCGCCCAAGAGUUCAUAUCGACGGCGGUGUUUGGCACCUCGAUGUCGGCUCAUCACAUCCUGGGGCUGAAGUAGGUCCCAAGGGUAUGGCUGUUCGCCAUUUAAAGUGGUACGCGAGCUGGGUUUAGAACGUCGUGAGACAGUUCGGUCCCUAUCUGCCGUGGGCGCUGGAGAACUGAGGGGGGCUGCUCCUAGUACGAGAGGACCGGAGUGGACGCAUCACUGGUGUUCGGGUUGUCAUGCCAAUGGCACUGCCCGGUAGCUAAAUGCGGAAGAGAUAAGUGCUGAAAGCAUCUAAGCACGAAACUUGCCCCGAGAUGAGUUCUCCCUGACUCCUUGAGAGUCCUGAAGGAACGUUGAAGACGACGACGUUGAUAGGCCGGGUGUGUAAGCGCAGCGAUGCGUUGAGCUAACCGGUACUAAUGAACCGUGAGGCUUAACCUUACAACGCCGAAGCUGUU